UACGAAGGUCCCGAGCGUUGUUCGGAAUCACUGGGCGUAAAGGGAGCGUAGGCGGCGUGGUAAGUCAGCUGUGAAAUCCCGGGGCUCAACCCCGGAACUGCAUCCGAUACUGCCAUGCUAGAGGAUUGGAGAGGUAGCUGGAAUUCUUGGUGUAGCAGUGAAAUGCGUGGAGAUCAAGAGGAACACUCGUGGCGAAAGCGAGCUACUGGACAAUAUCUGACGCUGAGGCUCGAAGGCCAGGGUAGCGAAAGGG
rnacentral:rRNA from 1 species